rnacentral:snRNA from 1 species
GUGCUCACUUAGGCAGCACACAUACUAAAUUUGGAAUGAUGCAGAGCAGAUUAGCAUGGCCCCUGUGCAAGGAUGACAUGUGAAAUACACUGAAUCUAUAAAAACCAAU